ACUACAUCUCCCAGCAGCCCUUGCUGCCGGGAGCUGUACUUUACUUUCAGUUUCAACUCUGCAGCGUGCAGUGAUCGGUACAGCAGAGACGCAUUAAGAGGGGGCACAGGGGACAAAUUACUAACCCCCCACCCCCUUCCCCCGCUCACCCCACUGCCAGUUACUUUAAUAAUUGCAGCCACUGCUGCAGUGAACAGAAAUUCCGAAAAGGGGGCGGGGCUAAACGGCACUGUACACACAGUGCCAUGCCAGCCAGCAACAGCGUGGGAGAGAGGAGGGGAGAAGAGCAGCACAGCCUAAACAGAAUCUUCCAGACAAUGUGAUAUCCUACAUGAAUUGUGAAAACCGAAUUUAGACGCCGUCAUCCCAGGGAAGAUACAUUUCUUAAGAUGCAUAUGGAAUGGAAAGGGAUGUUUCCAGGCUGACUAGAAACAGGUGGGGAGUCAUGUUGACACUCCUCAUUUUCAGUGACCAUGCCCCUCUCUGAAUGUGACCACGCCCAUCUUUUUGCUCAAGCCAUCGGCACUCACACAAAGUUUCAUAGGUGGGGGGGCGCCGUUCACAAUCUUGCCCUGGGCGCCGAAGACCCUACCUACGCCUCUGUGUGCUACGUAAGAAACUGUUGUUAAUAAUAAUAAUAAUAUCAAUAACAACAAUAAUAAUAAUAAAUGGUUGCGAUGUAUAAUAGAAGUUAGAUUUAUUGAUCUCUGGUGCUAGAGAUAAAUAAUUCUAUAUUUCUAAUGAGCAUAAAAUCUCACUAUAAGGCAGUGAUUCUCAAACUUUUUCGAAUAACAGCACCUUAGAGUAUCAGAAUUUUCUUCACGGCACCCCUAGGAAAAAAAGUUUCUUAUUGAGAAAUUUAGAAAGAAAAAUUAAAGUAAGUAAAUUGUGUUUAUAUGUCAUCCUUAAGUUUAAUUGUGUGGUAGGGGACAAGAUUUGCUUCUGUCAACAUAUUUUAUGAUUGACAGCCACCAGCAUUGGUUUUACAUUGACCAUAAAUAAUUUUAAUUGGUCUUGGACCACCAACCCAGGAUGCCACGGUACACAGUUUGAGAACCACUGCUAUAAGGGAUACAUUUGAGAGAGAUAAAGUAAGGCUUUUGUCAUUUUAUAGUCUGUGCUAGAUUAGUAAAAGCUACAGUAGAAUCUGGUUGCUCUGGGCAACUUCACCACUCAUCUCUCUCGACAGUUUGCUUCAGCUUCCCUAAGACUGAAAUUGUUUAAAGAAAGUAAAUAAGGGACAAAUGGUAAUUUAUUGAAAUACUACAAAAUAAUUUGCCCAUAUUGGUCAGGCUCAUAUCUGCCAGGAUAUGCCUUUAUUCAAAUUCAGUAUGAUUUACUGGCGGAUUGGAUGCAGUCUGUCAAUAUCCCGACAGUGGCAUCCUGUCCGCCAGAAUGCCGGCAGCAGGGUGAGCACUAAGAGUUCCCUUGUGGGCUUGGUGGCUCGAUGCGCUCACCACAGGAUGGGUGUGGUAUGAGUUGCCGGCGUCCGGGUCCCCGACAACCAGUAUAUCAGUGCCAGGAUCCCGACUGCCGGCUUGCCGACAGAGGGACAAGCGCAAAUGAGCCCUUUGCGGGUUCGCUGCGGGCACGGUGGUGCACGACUAUCUAGUCUCCCUCCAGGGGGGUCGUGGACCUCCAAGAGGGAGAAUAGUUGUUGGUAUGCCGGUUGUCGGGAUUCCAGCGCCGCUAUACUAUGCGCUAGGAUCCCAACAACCAGUAUACUGAAUACCACCCACAGGAUGUAUUCUCAAAUGUUAAUAACAAAAAUAAGCUUUUUAAUAAAAUGUAUUUUAUAGCCACAGACCCAGUUUUUCUAGCUCACCAAUACACCCUUUCAGACUGUCCUUCAGUACCCUCUAUCCUUCAAAAGAUCUGUACAUUACCAUUAAUCUCAGUAAUAAAUUGAAGCAAUACAUUUCUGAAAGAAAUGCCUACCUUUAAUAACAUACCAGCAGGAAUGUUAAACAAGUACAGUGACAGUACAAACAAUAAUAAACAAAUCUGACAAUAAAGCAGAAAGGUGCUAGAGGCAAGAGGGAAAAGCUUGCAAGACCUCAGGCUGCCCGAGGGCUGACUGUUGCUUAUCAGUGAUCUAGCUAAAGUCAUACAGUAUACUCAUUUUGUUAGAAAAAGUCAAUUACCCAGCUUACUGCAUGUUGUGUACUUGAUGCGGUUCUUACCAUGUCUUGUUAUUCUGUAUGCUUUAUACUGUAUGUUCAUAUUUAAUAAAGUACAGUAUUUAAAAUGUAAA